CUCACAAAAGGAGUUUUGUGUUUCCCAUGAAUUUAAAAUGGCCCUGUCACUCAUGCUACCAAAUGUCCCGAGCUGGUGAUCCAAAAAAGAAUGCAAUCAUUGUGCAAGCAGGGCAGUUUAUAAGCAAAUAUUUCACAGCACUCAGCUAAUGCAAUAAAAACUCAAAGCCAAGCAGCUAACUGCUGGGCUGUUUCUUUGUUGCUCUGGGCUGGGUUGUGGGUAGGGGAAGAUUAAGGGAAGUUAGAACAGCAAGAAAGCUCAAGCUCUGCAGGAGGUCUGAGUCAUGUCCCCUACCACCCCGGAGGUGUUUCCUCACCUCUCAACUCUAGGUUGUCUUAUCUGUUUGCAAUUUCCAGUCCUGCCCAGGGGACAUGAAAGCCUCAGCCUGGGAUGUCUAUAGGUCGGAAAGGUAUUGACAAAUUCUAAGCAGCUGUGGAGGUGAUAUGGCCGUCGGUGGGAGUGGCUAGUGGGACAGCUCCUUCCUGGAGGUUUUAGGAAGAAGAGGAAAAGAAGACCACCUCCUGAAAGCAGCAGCAGUACCCUGGAAUUGAACUCAGGACCUCGCGCUUGCUGCCGCGUCACUUAUGCCGCCGAGCUAUAUCCCCGACCCCAAAGGAGAAGCUGUAGAGAUGAGGCUGGGAAGUCCAAGAUCAAGGAGUUAGCAUUUGCUGUCUGGUUGUGGAGCUUUCGUCUGCAUCCCCCAUGGCAAAGGGGACGAACACUGUGUGCUACACGGAGGAAGGCGGAAGGGCAAAACUGCCUAGCUACUUCCCUUGAGCACUUUUAUAAGGGCACUGGUCCUAUUCAUGAGGACCAAGACCUUUUGAUGCAGUUGUCUUUUAAAGGGCCUACCUCUUAAUCUUAUCACAUUAGGUUCUAACACAUGAAUUUGGGAGGACACAGACAUUCAAACCAGAACAGCGUUAGAACCAGAAAUUGAAGCUAAGAGAAGUGACUAUGUUUUUAGAGAGUUAACUUAGAAGAAACCAGAGCUGGAACGUCCCCAUGCACCACCAGAGAUCACCUAGAAUCAAUUUACACGGCUUAAACAAAGACACAAAAAAGAAAUCCAUUGACUAGUAGAAAUGUUGCCAAUUCCAAUUCCCAAGGUUGCUGUGGUUUUUUUGUUUGUUUGUUUUUGUUUUUGUCUUUUUGAG